rnacentral:rRNA from 1 species
UACGUAGGGGGCUAGCGUUGUCCGGAAUCAUUGGGCGUAAAGCGCGUGUAGGCGGCCCGGUAAGUCCGCUGUGAAAGUCGGGGGGCUCAACCCUCGGAUGCCGGUGGAUACUGUCGGGCUUGAGUACGGAAGAGGCGAGUGGAAUUCCUGGUGUAGCGGUGAAAUGCGCAGAUAUCAGGAGGAACACCUAUUGCGAAGGCAGCUCGCUGGGACGUGACUGACGCUGAGACGCGAAAGCUGGGGAGCAAACAG